rnacentral:rRNA from 1 species
AACGAACGCUGGUGGCAGGCUUAACACAUGCAAGUCGAGCGCCCCGCAAGGGGAGCGGCAGACGGGUGAGUAACGCGUGGGAAUCUACCCAUCUCUACGGAAUAACGCAUGGAAACGUGUGCUAAUACCGUAUACGUCCUUCGGGCGAAAGAUUUAUCGGGGAUGGUUGAGCCCGCGUUGGAUUAGCUAGUUGGUGGGGUAAAGGCCUACCAAGGCGACGAUCCAUAGCUGGUCUGAGAGGAUGAUCAGCCACACUGGGACUGAGACACGGGACAGACUCGUACGGGAGGCAGCAGUGGGAAAUAUUGGACAAUGGGCGCAAGCCUGAUCCAGCCAUGGGGCGUGAGUGAUGAAGGCUCUAGGGUUGUAAAGCUCUUUCACCGGUGAAGAUAAUGACGGUAACCGGAGAAGAAGCCCCGGCUAACUUCGUGCCAGCCGCCGCGGUAACAC